rnacentral:tRNA from 2 species
GCCGCGAUGGCGGAACUGGUAGACGCACACGACUCAAAAUCGUGCGGAAGCGAUUCCAUGAGGGUUCAAGUCCCUCUCGCGGUA